rfam:Schistosoma rodhaini strain Burundi genome assembly, scaffold: SROB_scaffold0004008
ACCCAGCUGACGAGUCUCAAAUAGGACGAAACGCGAGUCAAACUAGAU